rnacentral:rRNA from 1 species
AGAGUUUGAUCAUGGCUCAGGACGAACGCUGGCGGCGUGCUUAACACAUGCAAGUCGGACGAAUAGUUACUGGCGGAUCUUUCGGGAGAAUCUGGUAAUUACUUAGUGGCGGACGGGUGAGUAACGCGUGAAAGACCUGCCCUUGGGAGGGGGAUACCGUCUGGAAACGGACGUUCAAUACCCCGGUACUCCGGGAGGUGAAAGGCUCUUUAAGGGCUGCCCUGUGGGGGCUUCUCGUCCUAUCAGCUGGUUGGUGUGGUAACGGCGCACCUAGGCGAAUACGGGUAUACUGGUCUGACAAGAUGGACGGCCACCCUGGAGCUGAGACGCGGUCCAGACUCCUGCGGGAGGCACCAGAGUGGAAUAUUGGGCAAUGGGCGGAAGCCUGACCCAGCGACGCCGCGUGAGGGAAGAAGACCUUACGGUUGUAAACCUCUGUUGUACGGUAAGAAGCGAGUGACUGUACCAUACGACUAAGCCCCGGCAAACUACUUGCGACCAGCCGCGGUAACACGUAAGGGGCGAGCGUUGUCCGGAAUUACUGGGCGUAAAGGGGCACGCAGGCGGAUAUGUAGGAUUUGUUGUGAAAUGUCAGGGCUCAAACCCAGGAGUUGCGGCAGAACCUGCAUAUCUGGAGUGCUGGAGAGGGAAGCGGAAUUCCCGGUGUAGCGGUGAAUGUCGUAGAUAUCGGGAGGAACACCAGUGGCGGAGGCGUCUUCCUGGCCAGUAACUGACGCUCAUGUGCGAAAGCUGGGGUAGCGAACUGGAUUAGAUACCCUGGUAGUCCACGCCGUAAACGAUGUGUAGUCGGAGUUUGGUGUCUUGAACACUGGGCUCUCAAGCUAACGCAUUAAGUAGACCGCUUGGGGAGUACGGCCGCAAGGUUAAAACUCAAAUGAAUUGACGGGGGCCCGCACAAGCGGUGGAGCAUGUGGUUUAAUUCGAUGCAACGCGAAGAACCUUACGUACUCUUGACAUCCACAGAACUUUCCAGAGAUGGAUUGGUGCCUUCGGGAACUGUGAGACAGGUGCUGCAUGGUUGUCGUCAGCUCUUGUUGUGAAAUGUUGGGUUAAGUCCCGCAACGAGCGCAACCCCUAUCCUUAUUUGCCAGCACGUAAUGGUGGGAACUCUAGGGAGACUGCCGGUGAUAAACCGGAGGAAGGUGGGGACGACGUCAAGUCAUCAUGGCCCUUACGAGUAGGGCUACACACGUGCUACAAUGGCGAGUACAGAGGGUUGCAAAGCCGUGAGGUGGAGCUAAUCUCACAAAGCUCGUAGUAGUCCGGAUUGGAGUCUGCAACUCGACUCCAUGAAGUCGGAAUCGGUAGUAAUCGUGGAUCAGAAUGCCACGGUGAAUAUGUUCCCGGGCCUUGUACACACCGCCCGUCACACCAUGGGAGUGGGCUGCAAAAGAAGUGGGUAGCUUAACCUUCGGGGGGGCGCUCACCACUUUGUGGUUCAUGACUGGGGUGAAGUCGUAACAAGGUAACCG